rnacentral:rRNA from 1 species
UACGUAGGGUGCAAGCGUUGUCCGGAAUUAUUGGGCGUAAAGAGCUCGUAGGCGGUUUGUUGCGUCGGCUGUGAAAUCCCGAGGCUCAACCUCGGGUCUGCAGUCGAUACGAGCAAACUAGAGUGUUGCAGGGGAGACUGGAAUUCCUGGUGUAGCGGUGAAAUGCGCAGAGUAUCAGGAAGAACACCAAUGGCGAAGGCAGCUCUCUGGGACGGUAC